AUUGAACGCUGGCGGCAGGCUUAACACAUGCAAGUCGAGCGGAGAUGAGGUGCUUGCACCUUAUCUUAGCGGCGGACGGGUGAGUAAUGCUUAGGAAUCUGCCUAUUAGCGGGGGACAACAUUCCGAAAGGAAUGCUAAUACCGCAUACGUCCUACGGGAGAAAGCAGGGGAUCUUCGGACCUUGCGCUAAUAGAUGAGCCUAAGUCGGAUUAGCUAGUUGGUGGGGCAAAGGCCUACCAAGGCGACGAUCUGUAGCGGGUCUGAGAGGAUGAUCCGCCACACUGGGACUGAGACACGGCCCAGACUCCUACGGGAGGCAGCAGUGGGGAAUAUUGGACAAUGGGGGGAACCCUGAUCCAGCAAUGCCGCGUGUGUGAAGAAGGCCUUAUGGUUGUAAAGCACUUUAAGCGAGGAGGAGGCUACUGAGACUAAUACUCUUGGAUAGUGGACGUUACUCGCAGAAUAAGCACCGGCUAACUCUGUGCCAGCCGCCGCCGUAA
rnacentral:rRNA from 1 species